GGUUAAGUGACUAAGCGUACACGGUGGAUGCCUUGGCAGUCAGAGGCGAUGAAAGACGUAGUAACUUGCGAUAAGCCCAGAUUAGGUAGUAACAACCAUUUGAGUCUGGGAUUUCUGAAUGGGGAAACCCACGUGCAUAAGCACGUAUCCUUACCUGAAUACAUAGGGUAAGGAGGCGAACCGGGGGAACUGAAACAUCUAAGUACCCCGAGGAAAAGAAAUCAACCGAGAUUCCGAAAGUAGCGGCGAGCGAAAUUGGACUAGCCCUUAAGCUUUACACGCGUUAGACGAACGGUCUGGAAAGUCCGACGAUACAGGGUGAUAGUCCCGUAGUUGACGACGUGUGUUCAGUGAAAUCGAGUAGGGCGGGACACGUGAUAUCCUGUCUGAAUAUGGGGGGACCAUCCUCCAAGGCUAAAUACUACUGACUGACCGAUAGUGAACCAGUACCGUGAGGGAAAGGCGAAAAGAACCCCUGUGAGGGGAGUGAAAUAGAACCUGAAACCGUGUACGUACAAGCAGUAGGAGCAGGCUUUGUCCUGUGACUGCGUACCUUUUGUAUAAUGGGUCAGCGACUUAUAUUCAGUGGCAAGGUUAACCAUCUAGGGGAGCCGUAGGGAAACCGAGUCUUAACUGGGCGUUCAGUCUCUGGAUAUAGACCCGAAACCAGGUGAUCUAGCCAUGGGCAGGUUGAAGGUUGAGUAACAUCAACUGGAGGACCGAACCGACUAAUGUUGAAAAAUUAGCGGAUGACUUGUGGCUAGGGGUGAAAGGCCAAUCAAACCUGGAGAUAGCUGGUUCUCCCCGAAAGCUAUUUAGGUAGCGCCUCGGACGAAUACUACUGGGGGUAGAGCACUGUUAAGGCUAGGGGGUCAUCCCGACUUACCAACCCUUUGCAAACUCCGAAUACCAGUAAGUACUAUCCGGGAGACACACGGCGGGUGCUAACGUCCGUCGUGGAGAGGGAAACAACCCAGACCGCCAGCUAAGGUCCCAAAUUACUACUAAGUGGGAAACGAUGUGGGAAGGCUCAGACAGCCAGGAUGUUGGCUUAGAAGCAGCCAUCAUUUAAAGAAAGCGUAAUAGCUCACUGGUCGAGUCGGCCUGCGCGGAAGAUGUAACGGGGCUAAGUAGUAAACCGAAGCUGCGGCAAUGUGCUUUUGCACAUUGGGUAGGGGAGCGUUCUGUAAGCGGUUGAAGGUGUGUGGUAACGCAUGCUGGACGUAUCAGAAGUGCGAAUGCUGACAUGAGUAACGAUAAAGGGGGUGAAAAACCUCCUCGCCGGAAGACCAAGGGUUCCUGUCCAACGUUAAUCGGGGCAGGGUAAGUCGACCCCUAAGGCGAGGCCGAAAGGCGUAGUCGAUGGGAAACGGGUUAAUAUUCCCGUACUUCUUACAAUUGCGAUGGGGGGACGGAGAAGGCUAGGUGGGCCUGGCGACGGUUGUCCAGGUUCAAGUGCGUAGGCUUAAGAGUUAGGUAAAUCCGGCUCUUUUUAAGGCUGAGACACGACGUCGAGCACCUACGGGUGUGAAGUCAUUGAUGCCAUGCUUCCAGGAAAAGCCUCUAAGCUUCAGAUUGUAAGGAAUCGUACCCCAAACCGACACAGGUGGUCGGGUAGAGAAUACCAAGGCGCUUGAGAGAACUCGGGUGAAGGAACUAGGCAAAAUGGUACCGUAACUUCGGGAGAAGGUACGCUCUUGAUGGUGAAGUCCCUUGCGGAUGGAGCUAUUGAGAGUCGCAGAUACCAGGUGGCUGCAACUGUUUAUUAAAAACACAGCACUGUGCAAAAUCGUAAGAUGACGUAUACGGUGUGACGCCUGCCCGGUGCCGGAAGGUUAAUUGAUGGGGUUAGACUUCGGUCGAAGCUCUUGAUCGAAGCCCCGGUAAACGGCGGCCGUAACUAUAACGGUCCUAAGGUAGCGAAAUUCCUUGUCGGGUAAGUUCCGACCUGCACGAAUGGCGUAAUGAUGGCCACGCUGUCUCCACCCGAGACUCAGUGAAAUUGAAAUCGCUGUGAAGAUGCAGUGUACCCGCGGCUAGACGGAAAGACCCCGUGAACCUUUACUACAGCUUGGCACUGAACAUUGACCCUACAUGUGUAGGAUAGGUGGGAGGCUUUGAAGCACGUACGCCAGUAUGUGUGGAGCCGUCCUUGAAAUACCACCCUUGUAGUGUUGAUGUUCUAACGUCGACCCCUUAUCGGGGUUGCGGACAGUGCCUGGUGGGUAGUUUGACUGGGGCGGUCUCCUCCCAAAGAGUAACGGAGGAGCACGAAGGUGGGCUAAUCACGGUUGGACAUCGUGAGGUUAGUGCAAUGGCAUAAGCCCGCUUGACUGCGAGAAUGACAAUUCGAGCAGGUGCGAAAGCAGGUCAUAGUGAUCCGGUGGUUCUGAAUGGAAGGGCCAUCGCUCAACGGAUAAAAGGUACUCCGGGGAUAACAGGCUGAUACCGCCCAAGAGUUCAUAUCGACGGCGGUGUUUGGCACCUCGAUGUCGGCUCAUCACAUCCUGGGGCUGAAGUCGGUCCCAAGGGUAUGGCUGUUCGCCAUUUAAAGUGGUACGCGAGCUGGGUUUAGAACGUCGUGAGACAGUUCGGUCCCUAUCUGCCGUGGGCGUUGGAAGAUUGAAGGGGGCUGCUCCUAGUACGAGAGGACCGGAGUGGACGAACCUCUGGUGUUCGGGUUGUGUCGCCAGACGCAUUGCCCGGUAGCUAAGUUCGGAAUCGAUAACCGCUGAAAGCAUCUAAGCGGGAAGCGAGCCCUGAGAUGAGUCUUCCCUGAUACUUUAAGUAUCCUAAAGGGUUGUCGGAGACUACGACGUUGAUAGGUCAGGUGUGUAAGUGCUGUGAGGCAUUGAGCUAACUGAUACUAAUUGCCCGUGAGGCUUAACCAU
rnacentral:rRNA from 1 species